GCCACUCAUUCAAAAAGCAUUUGUGAGGUUCAUACUCUGAUUUAGAUUUUGUGCAAAUGCUACAAAUUGAAAAAGACUGAAGCAUGCAUUGGAACAUUAAGAACCUGCGAGAAUAACUGUGGAAAUUUAAAACGUCAUCGUAGUGAGAUGUUUUCUGAUGAAUUUUAAAACAAGAGGAAACAUCUCUCAGGCAGAUAAGUGGGGAUAGAAUAGUGGUGGUAGAGGAGUUAAUUCCAAACAGAGUAACUAGCAUGGGAAAAGGCAAGUGGAGUGCAACACAGCAAGUGUAGAAGAAAUCAUAACAUGAGCGAAGCAUAAGAUUCAAGUGGAGUUGGAGACAGUAAGCACUGAAGAUGAAAAGGGACGUGGAUGAAUCUGGAGAACGUCAUCCUCAGCAAACUGACACAAGAACAGAAAAUGAAACACCGCAUAUUCUCACUCAUAGAGGCAGGGUCUUGCUAUGUUGUCCAAGCUAGUCUUAAACUCCUGGGCUCAAGUGAUUCUUUGGCCACAACCCCCAAUUCCUGGGAUUAUAGGUGGGAAUUAAUUCAAAAAUAAAUAUAAAAAUAAUAUUUGAAAUUUUCGUUCUUUGUGCAAAGAGAUAAAGAUCCAUACAUUGGCUCAUCCAUACAUUCAUCUAUUCAUUCAUUCUUUCAUUUAUUAGUGUUUAGGCACCUAUUAGGUACUGCAAAUACAGUAGCUAAAAAGACAUACAGAUU
rnacentral:lncRNA from 1 species